UCAGAUUGAACGCUGGCGGGAUGCUUUACGCAUGCAAGUCGAACGGCAGCACGGACUUCGGUCUGGUGGCGAGUGGCGAACGGGGUGAGUAAUGUAUCGGAACGUGCCUAGUAGCGGGUGGGAUAACUACGCGAAAGCGUAGCCAAUACCACGCUCUCCGGGAAAGCGGGGGACCUUCGGGCUCGCACUAUUAGAGCGGCCGAUAUCGGAUUAGCUAGUUGGUGGGGUAACGGCUCAUUAAGGCGACUGAUCCGUAGCUGGUUUGAGAGGGACGACCAGCCACACUGGGAUCAGAGACGGCCCAGACUCCUACGGGGAGGCAGCAGGGGAAUUUUGGACAAUGGGGAAACCCUGAUCCAGCCAUCCUGCGUGUGCGAUGAAGGCCUUCGGGUUGUAAAGCACUUUUGGCAGGAAAGAAACGGCACGGGAUAAUACCCCUGUGCAACUGACGGUACCUGCAGAAUAAGCACCGGCUAACUACGUGCCAGCAGCCGCGGUAAUACGUAGGGUGUUGCCACCCUGAAAUUACUGGCGCAGCGUGCGCAGGCGGUUCGGAAAGAAAGAUGAAAUCCCAGAGCUUAACUUUGGAACUGCAUUUUUAAUCACCGAGCUAGAGUGUGUCAGAGGGCGGAAUUCCGCGUGUAGCAGCAAAAUGCGUAGAUAUGCGGAGGAACACCGAUGAGGCGAAGGCAGCCUCCUGGGAUAACACUGACGCUCAUGCACGAAAGCGUGGGGAGCAAACAGAUUAGGACUCCUAGUCUUAAAGGCCCCAAACGACGUCAUCUAGCUGUUGGGGCCUUCGGGCUCCCGUAGCGCAGCUAACGCGUGAAGUUGACCGCCUGGGGAGCGGUCGCAAGAUUAAAACUGCUGUAUGAAUUGGACGGGGACCCGCAAUUGCCAGGUGGAUGAUGUGGAUUAAUUGAUGCAAUCGCGAAAACCUUACCUACCCUGAUGUUCGAAUCCCGAAGAGAUUUGGAGUGCCUGCAAGAGAACCCGGAACACAGGUGCUGCAUGGCUGUCGUCAGCUCGUGUCGUGAGAUGUUGGGUUAAGUCCCAACGAGCGCAACCCUUGUCAUUAGUUGCUGCAUGAAAGGGCACCUAAUGAGAUCGCCGGUGACAAACCGGAGGAAGGUGGGGAGAUGACGUCAAGUCCGCGGCCCUUAUGGGUAGGGCUUCACACGUCAUACAAUGGUCGGGACAGAGGGUCGCCAACCCGCGAGGGGGAGCCAAUCCCAGAAACCCGAUCGCAGUCCGGAUCGCAGUCUGCAACUCGACUGCGUGAGUCGGAAUCGCUAGUAAUCGUGGAUCAGCAUGUCGCGGUGAAUACGUUCCCGGGUCUUGUACACACCGCCCGUCACACCAUGGGGAGUGGCUUUACCAGAAGUAGUUAGGCCUAACCGUAAGGAGGGCGAUCACGGUAGGAUUCAUGACUGGGGUGAAGUCGUAACAAGGCAG
rnacentral:rRNA from 1 species